rnacentral:lncRNA from 1 species
AGGCCACGGUUUUUUAAUUUGUUGGUUUACGGAAUUUUCUCCAUGAAAAAGUCGGGUCGGUCGGUCGGGAAAAAAAAAUAAAAAAAAUAUUUUCAAGACAGAAAACUGAUAUGCAAAAUAAAAAUAUAUUUCACCUUUCUAAUAAUAUGUUUGUCAUACUAUUUUGACAUCGUUUUUAAAUUUUAGUUUGAUGAAAUAAUUAUAUUAUUGCUCAGCUGUAAGAGACAUCGCAUGACAUUGUCUAAUAAUUUCCGGUAAAAAAAAAGGCAGUGGCUAUUUGACCGGCACCGGCAAAAUAGCAAAUUUGCUAUUUGACCGGCACCGGCCAAAUAGCAAAUUUGCUAUUUAGCCGGCACUGAAUAAAACUGUUCAUUGA